CUGCUGCCUCCCGUAGGAGUCUGGUCCGUGUCUCAGUACCAGUGUGGGGGGCCUUCCUCUCAGAACCCCUACGCAUCGUCGCCUCGGUGGGCCGUUACCCCGCCGACUAGCUAAUGCGCCGCAUGCCCAUCCGUGGCCGGGAUUGCUCCCUUUGGCGGCCUUGGGAUGUCCCUAGGCCGCGUUACGCGGUAUUAGGCGGGGUUUCCCCCGCUUAUCCCCCUGCCACGGGCAGGUUGCAUACGUGUUACUCACCCGUGCGCCGGUCGCCGGCAACGG
rnacentral:rRNA from 1 species